CCCUAUGAGACCCACAGUGCCGAUAGA
rnacentral:sRNA from 1 species